GCCGAAGGCAGCUGCCCAACCAACUGAGCCACCCAGGUAAAGCCAGGUACCAUAUACCUGAAGCUAAUAACUCACUUUCUAAGGUAUAUGCCCAUUACUCCAGCUUCUCAAGGGAUCUCCUCAAAAAAACAAUGACCAUCUCCAGUAAGAAUAAAUAAGAGUCAAACUCCUAUAGUUAUUUCUGGCUUUAAAACAAGCAAGACACACCUCCCAUCUUGAUUAGUCACAGAGCUGCUGCUGGACAGAGAGACGGACAGUGUGACCUCGACUCUCAUUGACUCAACAGCCAGCCCUCGGGUACCAGACACACAGGCCCAACUUACAAAGGGUGGGCAAACUCCCACCCGGUAUGCAGAUGCCGCGUUUCUCACCGACGGGAGGAUGUGCCGAUGAAUUAGCAGUCAGACAGUGACUGUCAUUGGUAAUAACUUCUUAUUAUGUCAAGGAAUUUACAUGCAGAUCAAUGUGAGCAGUGCACACUCGC